AUGCGUUGUUGGGUAGGGGAGCGUUCUGUAAGCCUGCGAAGGUGUGCUGUGAGGCAUGCUGGAGGUAUCAGAAGUGCGAAUGCUGACAUAAGUAACGAUAAAGCGGGUGAAAAGCCCGCUCGCCGGAAGACCAAGGGUUCCUGUCCAACGUUAAUCGGGGCAGGGUGAGUCGACCCCUAAGGCGAGGCCGAAAGGCGUAGUCGAUGGGAAACAGGUUAAUAUUCCUGUACUUGGUGUUACUGCGAAGGGGGGACGGAGAAGGCUAUGUUGGCCGGGCGACGGUUGUCCCGGUUUAAGCGUGUAGGCUGGUUUUCCAGGCAAAUCCGGAAAAUCAAGGCUGAGGCGUGAUGACGAGGCACUGCGGUGCUGAAGCAACAAAUGCCCUGCUUCCAGGAAAAGCCUCUAAGCAUCAGGUAACAUCAAAUCGUACCCCAAACCGACACAGGUGGUCAGGUAGAGAAUACCAAGGCGCUUGAGAGAACUCGGGUGAAGGAACUAGGCAAAAUGGUGCCGUAACUUCGGGAGAAGGCACGCUGAUAUGUAGGUGAAGUCCCUCGCGGAUGGAGCUGAAAUCAGUCGAAGAUACCAGCUGGCUGCAACUGUUUAUUAAAAACACAGCACUGUGCAAACACGAAAGUGGACGUAUACGGUGUGACGCCUGCCCGGUGCCGGAAGGUUAAUUGAUGGGGUUAGCGCAAGCGAAGCUCUUGAUCGAAGCCCCGGUAAACGGCGGCCGUAACUAUAACGGUCCUAAGGUAGCGAAAUUCCUUGUCGGGUAAGUUCCGACCUGCACGAAUGGCGUAAUGAUGGCUAGGCUGUCUCCACCCGAGACUCAGUGAAAUUGAACUCGCUGUGAAGAUGCAGUGUACCCGCGGCAAGACGGAAAGACCCCGUGAACCUUUACUAUAGCUUGACACUGAACAUUGAGCCUUGAUGUGUAGGAUAGGUGGGAGGCUUUGAAGUGUGGACGCCAGUCUGCAUGGAGCCGACCUUGAAAUACCACCCUUUAAUGUUUGAUGUUCUAACGUUGACCCGUAAUCCGGGUUGCGGACAGUGUCUGGUGGGUAGUUUGACUGGGGCGGUCUCCUCCUAAAGAGUAACGGAGGAGCACGAAGGUUGGCUAAUCCUGGUCGGACAUCAGGAGGUUAGUGCAAUGGCAUAAGCCAGCUUGACUGCGAGCGUGACGGCGCGAGCAGGUGCGAAAGCAGGUCAUAGUGAUCCGGUGGUUCUGAAUGGAAGGGCCAUCGCUCAACGGAUAAAAGGUACUCCGGGGAUAACAGGCUGAUACCGCCCAAGAGUUCAUAUCGACGGCGGUGUUUGGCACCUCGAUGUCGGCUCAUCACAUCCUGGGGCUGAAGUAGGUCCCAAGGGUAUGGCUGUUCGCCAUUUAAAGUGGUACGCGAGCUGGGUUUAGAACGUCGUGAGACAGUUCGGUCCCUAUCUGCCGUGGGCGCUGGAGAACUGAGGGGGGCUGCUCCUAGUACGAGAGGACCGGAGUGGACGCAUCACUGGUGUUCGGGUUGUCAUGCCAAUGGCACUGCCCGGUAGCUAAAUGCGGAAGAGAUAAGUGCUGAAAGCAUCUAAGCACGAAACUUGCCCCGAGAUGAGUUCUCCCUGACUCCUUGAGAGUCCUGAAGGAACGUUGAAGACGACGACGUUGAUAGGCCGGGUGUGUAAGCGCAGCGAUGCGUUGAGCUAACCGGUACUAAUGAACCGUGAGG
rnacentral:rRNA from 1 species